GUCUUACAUCGGUUAGAGAUAGUGUCAAAAUAGAAUAUAUAAGUGAAAGACAAUCCUCACCUCAAAAGCUAGCUCAUAGGGGGAGGGUUGUCCCCACUUAUAUAUUCUAUCUUGGCACUAUCUCUAACCGAUGUAGAAC
rnacentral:pre_miRNA from 1 species